UGAGGAAUUUUGCGCAAUGGGGGGAACCCUGACGCAGCAACGCCGCGUGGGUGAUGAAGGCCUUCGGGUCGUAAAGCCCUGUCGGGCGGGAAGAACGUCCCUUCGGGGAAUGACGGUACCGCCAGAGGAAGCACCAGCUAACUCCGUGCCAGCAGCCGCGGUAAUACGGAGGGUGCAAGCGUUAUUCGGAAUUACUGGGCGUAAAGGGCGUGCAGGCGGGAGAGCAAGUCUGAUGUGAAAGCCCGGGGCUUAACCCCGGAAGGGCAUUGGAAACUGCUUUUCUUGAGUUCUGGAGAGGAUGGGGGAAUUGCCGGUGUAGAGGUGAAAUUCGUAGAGAGCGGGAGGAAUAUCAGUGGCGUAGGCGGCCGUCUGGACGGUAAAUGACGCGGAGAAGCGAAAGCGUGGGGGGCAAACA
rnacentral:rRNA from 1 species